rnacentral:rRNA from 1 species
GACGAACGCUGGCGGCGUGCCUAAUACAUGCAAGUAGGACGCAGUUGCGAACGGGUGAGUAACGCGUAGGUAACUGCCUAUUAGAGGGGGAUAACUAUUGGAAACGAUAGCUAAUACCGCAUACUAGUAGAUGGACCUGCGUUGUAUUAGCUAGUAGGUAGGGUAAAGGCCUACCUAGGCAACGAUACAUAGCCGACCCUGAGAGGGGAUUGGGCAAACUGGGGCUGGGAAACGGGCCAGGACCCUACGGGGGGGCACCGUAGGGAAUCUUCGGCAAAUGGGGGAACCCUGACCGAGGAAAGGCGGGGGAGGGAAGAAAGGUUUCGGGUCGUAAAAGUCCGUUGUUAAGGAAGCGGUACUUAACCAAAAAGGGACGGCUAACUAAGUGCCAGCAGCCGCGGUAAUAC